rnacentral:rRNA from 1 species
CCUACGGGUGGCAGCAGUGAGGAAUAUUGGUCAAUGGACGAGAGUCUGAACCAGCCAAGUAGCGUGAGGGAUGACUGCCCUAUGGGUUGUAAACUUCUUUUAUAAAGGAAUAAAACGAGGCACGUGUGCCUUUUUGCAUGUACUUUAUGAAUAAGGAUCGGCUAACUCCGUGCCAGCAGCCGCGGUAAUACGGAGGAUCCGAGCGUUAUCCGGAUUUAUUGGGUUUAAAGGGAGCGUAGAUGGGUUGUUAAGUCAGUUGUGAAAGGUUGCGGCUCAACCGUAAAAUUGCAAUUGAUACUGGCAGUCUUGAGUACAGGUGAGGUAGGCGGAAUUCGUGGUGUAGCGGUGAAAUGCUUAGAUAUCACGAAGAACCCCGAUUGCGAAGGCAGCUUACUAAACUGUGACUGACAUUGAUGCUCGAAAGUGUGGGUAUCAAACAGGAUUAGAUACCCUUGUAGUC